rnacentral:lncRNA from 1 species
AGAGGGCCCCUCCUGCCCGCCACGUUUCCUUCCUGCUGGGGGGCUUCUGUUCUCCCAGACCGGGUCGGUGCUCUUUUCCCCCGGCGCCCCUCCCCCACCCAGCCCGGGCCUUGCCUGCCGCAGCCACCUUCUUCUCUGAUGCUGUGUCCUGGACUUGGUGACAAUGGCAAAUUGACAAGAAGGCGAGCCUGGGCCUUUCCUGCGGCGACAUCCAGCUUCCCCCGCCCCUCCCUGGGUGGGUGCCCACCACACGCCCAGCCUGCCGCGUGCUUAUCCAGGCCCUCCAGGCCAGGCCUCCGGGUCUUAUGGAAGAAGGCCCCGUGUCUGGGCAGUGCCGUGGCUGUGAGUGAGCAUCCGGGGCCAGUCAGAUGUGCCGUCUCCGGAGGUCACUUCCAUAGUGGCCAUCAACAGCUUGGCCAAACUCGGCCGCAGGAUCUUUUCCUAUCAAUUGCAGGAUGGACUCUUCCCGCAGCCAUGCGACCUGUGGCCCGCGGUCCUGCUCCCUGAGCUGGAGGAGGCUGAACAGAAUGAGCAGGUUGAGGCCUGUGGGAAGGAAGAGCCACAUCUCCUUCAUGUUUAUUACCCCCUCCGCAGGCCAUAGCUAGGAGGCCUUGAAGGUUUUUUUAAGGGGGAAAGGGGGUUUCCAGAACCACAGCCGGCUCAGCAGAAAGUCUCCACCAACAGAAUCUGUGGGCGCACAUUCCUCAACAGCUGAAGAAGGGGCUGGAGGGGCUCAUGGCAUCCCCUCCAGAGGCAGGCCCAGGGCCCUGUGUGCAGUGGGGGGUCCUGCAUCUGCAUUGUUGUUAAGAAAGUGACAUUUGGCUACAUGGAGUGACUCAUGCCUGUAAUCCCAGCACUUUGGGAGGCUGAAGCUGUCAGAUUGCUUGGGCCCAGGAGUUCGAGAUCAGCCUGGGCAACUUGGUGAAACCUCAUUUCUUUUUUUUUGAGACAGGGUCUCACUCUGUAGCCAAGACUGGAGUGCAGUGGCACAAUCUCGGCUCACCGCAACCUCCACUUCCCAGGCUCAAGUGAUUCUCCUGACUCAGCCUCCCGAGUAGCUGGGAUUACAGGUGUGCACCACCACGCCUGACUAAUUUUUGUAUUGUUAGUAGAGACGGGGUUUCACCAUGUUGGCCAGGUUGGUGUUGAACUCCUGACUUCAAAUGAUCCACCUGCCUUGGCCUCCCAAAGUGCUGGGAUUACAGGCCUGAGCCACUGCGCCCGGACUUUUUUUUUUUUUUGAGAUGGAGUUUCGCUCUGUCACCCAGGCUGGAGUGUGGUGGCAUGAUCUCGGCUCACUGCAACCUCCACCUCCCAGGGUCAAGUGAUUCUCCUGGGUCAGCCUCCGGAGUAGCUGGGAUUACAGUUUUUCUUCCCAGGGUCUCCCCAAGAGCUGCUUCCUUUGACUCCUGCUGUGUGUAGUUCUGCUGACAAUGACCUGGACAGCUCUGCGCCAUGCACAGCGUCUCUUUUCUCCGACUUACCAAAUUUUAGACACUACUGACUCCUCCAUGUGAAAGAUGGGAAUUCAGCUACAUCACAUUACCCUACAAACUUUAUUGUUAAUAUUUCUUCCCGGUCAGCCCCAAACACUGAAUGUAAAUACGGUCCAACAUCAACCUGCAAACGAACACUGACAUGAAAGUGCAGUUGGAAAGGAUCUCGCAAAGGAACAGAAUCUGGUGAUCCUAAUCGUAAUGAACGUGAUCGCCGGGUAUUGAGAGCUUGCAGGUACCAGGGCUCCGGCACUACGUGUUUCACAGGGGCCACUCGGUAGACCUCUUGGUGACCUUGAGGUCAGGUACCACGUUCCCAUUUUACAGAGGAGGAAACUGAGAUAACCUACGACAGCGAAAAGGUAGCAGAGCUGGGACUGGUGCCCAGGCUCGCCGAGUGGAAAAGCCCUCGGCCACCGUGGAGAGCUCGCUUCCUGUGGUCUGAAGCGUCGCCCCUGCACCGGCUUCUGCUGCCAAGGAUGGCUUUUCCUCACUGGUGCCCACCUACGCUCACUUGUGUCAUGUGGUUAAGCCCUUUUGGCAACAUAAGACCUUUCCCAAGAAUGUGCCUCGGUGCAGAGGAAGACGGUGGGGGCAGGCCCCCUCCCCGGGAUGCUCCACCCUCCCUGACCUCACACGGGUGCAACCUGGGCCGUGGCCGAGACCUGCUGUGUGGCAGACAAUGGGAAGCCUGUGUGUCGUCCUGGGUGCCGGAUUUAGACAAUAUUUAGCUUUCCCUUGGUGGAAAAGCCUUUCCCCUCCUGCUUUGGGCAGGAACUGGUUCCUGUUGGGCGGGGCCUGGCUGCUGCCCCACCCCCACCCGGCCGGGCACCUUGACCGGCAGCUCUCCGGGCUGCUCCCUGCCUGUGUCCCUGAGCACUGACUCCAGAGGUUUAAUCAUUAACGGGCACGUUUGGCCUUCGGUCGUGGGCUGGAAUUUGGGACCUGUGCCCGGGAACAAUGAUCUCCGACACAUUAUUUUGUGUAAAAUCACUUUUAGCUGCCAUUAGCUAAUAAAGCUGGAAUAAAGUGAGGUCCAUUAACCAGCA